AUCCUUUGGAUUAUGUAUAUGAUGUAUGAUGUUCAUGCUAUAUGCAUGAGAUGUGUCUCCUUUAAACCUUGCUAUGAUAUAGACAUGUUACCUGUUUGAGA
rfam:Cavia porcellus supercont2_19 genomic scaffold, whole genome shotgun sequence.